CUUGAUUUUUCAUAUAUAUGCAUGAUCAUGACGGAUUUACAACACACUGUUGAGGUCACAAUUAAUAUAUCACCUCAAAAGAGCAGAUUUUAGUGAAAUCUACUUCAGUAUAUUAGUAUGUUCAUUCAUCUCUGUUUGAUGAUGACACAGAAAUGGGAAAGAGAGUUUUAACUGGCCAAACAAAACAAAGAUUCAGAUUAAAACUCUAACCCGGGUUACCUGUAAAUGUUCUCUUCAAGUCAACAGGACAUGUCAUAUGGUUGAAAUUUCAGAAGGUGUAAAAGAUGCAGCGCUAUGCUGGAUUCGGUCAAGGCUGAGCUCCAUACUUCUAUGAACCAUGUCCUGUAGCAGCCUCUUAGCAGUUUCAGCUGCUUUAUCAGAGCCAUCAUCUUGUGCAGCACUGUCAUAAACAAUUCUCUCCAAUACUGAGGAUGCUAAUUUCUUUUCCUCGGGGGUAUCUCUGAGCAAGGCUAAGAGCAUUCGAGCUUUUUCUUGAGCUUCAGAGGUUCCCUCCACAGUUAGUCGCAGAAGCCCUGGAAUUGC
rnacentral:misc_RNA from 1 species